GGGGAUGUAGCUCAGUUGGUAGAGUGCUUGCCUUGCAUGCAGAAGGCCCUGGGUUCCAUCCCCAGCACCA
rnacentral:tRNA from 1 species